rnacentral:rRNA from 2 species
UGUUUCGGCUAGGGGGCCAUCCCGGCUUACCAACCCGAUGCAAACUGCGAAUACCGGAGAAUGUUAUCACGGGAGACACACGGCGGGUGCUAACGUCCGUCGUGAAGAGGGAAACAACCCAGACCGCCAGCUAAGGUCCCAAAGUCAUGGUUAAGUGGGAAACGAUGUGGGAAGGCCCAGACAGCCAGGAUGUUGGCUUAGAAGCAGCCAUCAUUUAAAGAAAGCGUAAUAGCUCACUGGUCGAGUCGGCCUGCGCGGAAGAUGUAACGGGGCUAAACCAUGCACCGAAGCUGCGGCAGCGACGCUGAUGCGUUGUUGGGUAGGGGAGCGUUCUGUAAGCCUGCGAAGGUGGCCUGUGAGGGUUGCUGGAGGUAUCAGAAGUGCGAAUGCUGACAUAAGUAACGAUAAAGCGGGUGAAAAGCCCGCUCGCCGGAAGACCAAGGGUUCCUGUCCAACGUUAAUCGGGGCAGGGUGAGUCGACCCCUAAGGCGAGGCCGAAAGGCGUAGUCGAUGGGAAACGGGUUAAUAUUCCCGUACUUGGUGUUACUGCGAAGGGGGGACGGAGAAGGCUAUGUUGGCCGGGCGACGGUUGUCCCGGUUUAAGCGUGUAGGUGUGUGUUCCAGGUAAAUCCGGUUCACUUUAACACUGAGGCGUGAUGACGAGGCACUACGGUGCUGAAGCAACAAAUGCCCUGCUUCCAGGAAAAGCCUCUAAGCAUCAGGUAACAUCAAAUCGUACCCCAAACCGACACAGGUGGUCAGGUAGAGAAUACCAAGGCGCUUGAGAGAACUCGGGUGAAGGAACUAGGCAAAAUGGUGCCGUAACUUCGGGAGAAGGCACGCUGACACGUAGGUGAAGUGAUUUACUCAUGGAGCUGAAGUCAGUCGAAGAUACCAGCUGGCUGCAACUGUUUAUUAAAAACACAGCACUGUGCAAACACGAAAGUGGACGUAUACGGUGUGACGCCUGCCCGGUGCCGGAAGGUUAAUUGAUGGGGUCAGCGCAAGCGAAGCUCCUGAUCGAAGCCCCGGUAAACGGCGGCCGUAACUAUAACGGUCCUAAGGUAGCGAAAUUCCUUGUCGGGUAAGUUCCGACCUGCACGAAUGGCGUAAUGAUGGCCAGGCUGUCUCCACCCGAGACUCAGUGAAAUUGAACUCGCUGUGAAGAUGCAGUGUACCCGCGGCAAGACGGAAAGACCCCGUGAACCUUUACUAUAGCUUGACACUGAACAUUGAGCCUUGAUGUGUAGGAUAGGUGGGAGGCUUUGAAGUGUGGACGCCAGUCUGCAUGGAGCCGACCUUGAAAUACCACCCUUUAAUGUUUGAUGUUCUAACGUGGACCCGUGAUCCGGGUUGCGGACAGUGUCUGGUGGGUAGUUUGACUGGGGCGGUCUCCUCCUAAAGAGUAACGGAGGAGCACGAAGGUUGGCUAAUCCUGGUCGGACAUCAGGAGGUUAGUGCAAUGGCAUAAGCCAGCUUGACUGCGAGCGUGACGGCGCGAGCAGGUGCGAAAGCAGGUCAUAGUGAUCCGGUGGUUCUGAAUGGAAGGGCCAUCGCUCAACGGAUAAAAGGUACUCCGGGGAUAACAGGCUGAUACCGCCCAAGAGUUCAUAUCGACGGCGGUGUUUGGCACCUCGAUGUCGGCUCAUCACAUCCUGGGGCUGAAGUAGGUCCCAAGGGUAUGGCUGUUCGCCAUUUAAAGUGGUACGCGAGCUGGGUUUAGAACGUCGUGAGACAGUUCGGUCCCUAUCUGCCGUGGGCGCUGGAGAACUGAGGGGGGCUGCUCCUAGUACGAGAGGACCGGAGUGGACGCAUCACUGGUGUUCGGGUUGUCAUGCCAAUGGCACUGCCCGGUAGCUAAAUGCGGAAGAGAUAAGUGCUGAAAGCAUCUAAGCACGAAACUUGCCCCGA